rnacentral:rRNA from 1 species
AGAGUUUGAUCAUGGCUCAGAGUGAUCGCUGGCGGCGUGCUUAACACAUGCAAGUCGAGCGAAUUCCGGCAGCGUAUCGCCGGAGUUAGCGGCAGACGGGUGAGUAAUACUUGGGUAAUCUACCCUUGAGAGGGAAACAACCGGCCGAAAGGCUGGCUAAUGUCCCAUAAGACCACAGGAUGGCAUCAUCCAGGGGUCAAAGCUCCGCAAGGGGCGCUUGAGGAGGAAUCCGAGUCCUAUCAGCUAGUUGGUGAGGUAAUGGCUCACCAAGGCUUUGACGGGUAGCCGGCCUGAAAGGGUGAUCGGCCACACUGGCACUGAGACACGGGCCAGACUCCUACGGGAGGCAGCAGUGGGGAAUUUUGGACAAUGGGGGCAACCCUGAUCCAGCGACGCCGCGUGAAGGAUGAAGGUCUUCGGAUUGUAAACUUCUUUUGAAGGGGAUGAAUGCCUUGGUGAAUAGCCAAGGGUGACAGUACUCUUCGAAUAAGCCACGGCUAACUACGUGCCAGCAGCCGCGGUAAUACGUAGGUGGCAAGCGAUACUCGGAAUCACUAGGCGUAAAGCGCAGGUAGGCGGUUUGGUAAGUCUUUUGUGAAAGCUCCCGGCUCAACUGGGAGAGGUCAAGGGAAACUACCGGACUAGAGUGUGGUAGGGGAUACUGGAAUUCCUGGUGUAGCGGUGAAAUGCGUAGAUAUCAGGAGGAAUACCUAUGGCGAAAGCAGGUAUCUGGGCCAUCACUGACGCUGAGCUGCGAAAGCUAGGGGAGCAAACAGGAUUAGAUACCCUAGUAGUCC